UACGGAGGGUGCGAGCGUUGUCCGGAAUCACUGGGCGUAAAGCGCACGUAGGCGGAUUGCUAAGUCAGGGGUGAAAUCCUGGAGCUCAACUCCAGAACUGCCUUUGAUACUGGCGAUCUCGAGUCCGGGAGAGGUGAGUGGAACUGCGAGUGUAGAGGUGAAAUUCGUAGAUAUUCGCAAGAACACCAGUGGCGAAGGCGGCUCACUGGCCCGGUACUGACGCUGAGGUGCGAAAGCGUGGGGAGCAAACAGG
rnacentral:rRNA from 1 species